CCUACGGGGGGCAGCAGUGGGGAAUAUUGCGCAAUGGGCGAAAGCCUGACGCAGCGACGCCGCGUGAGGGAUGAAGGUCUUCGGAUCGUAAACCUCUGUCAGCAGGGAAGAACGGUCACUGUGCUAAUCAGCAGUGAAUUGACGGUACCUGCAAAGGAAGCACCGGCUAACUCCGUGCCAGCAGCCGCGGUAAUACGGAGGGUGCGAGCGUUAAUCGGAAUUACUGGGCGUAAAGCGCUCGUAGGCGGUAUGUCAAGUCAAGGGUGAAAUCCCCGGGCUCAACGUGGGAACUGCCUUUGAAACUGGCAGGCUGGAGUGUGUGAGAGGAUGGUGGAAUUCCAGGUGUAGGAGUGAAAUCCGUAGAUAUCUGGAGGAACAUCAGUGGCGAAGGCGACUAUCUGGAACAUAACUGACGCUGAGGAGCGAAAGCGUGGGUAGCAAACAGGAUUAGAUACCCUAGUAGUC
rnacentral:rRNA from 1 species